AACGAACGCUGGCGGCGUGGAUAAGACAUGCAAGUCGGACGAUCAUUACGGGGUAGCAAUACUUUGGUGAGAGUGGCGCACGGGUGCGUAACACGUAUGCAACCUACCUAUAACCGGGACACAACCUUGAGAAAUUGAGGCUAAUAUCCCAUAACACUGCGAAAUGGCAUCAUAUUGCAGUUAAAACUCCGGUGGUUAUAGAUGGGCAUGCGCGACAUUAGCUAGUUGGUGAGGUAACGGCCCACCAAGGCUACGAUGUCUAGGGGUUCUGAGAGGAUUAUCCCCCACACUGGUACUGAGACACGGACCAGACACCUACGGGUGGCAG
rnacentral:rRNA from 1 species